rnacentral:rRNA from 1 species
UCCAGGCGGGAAGCUUCACGCGUUAGCUGCGUUACUGAGAAGGAUGAUACCCAACAACCAGUUGAUAUCGUUUAGGGCGUGGACUACCAGGGUAUCUAAUCCUGUUUGCUCCCCACGCUUUCGUGCCUGAGCGUCAGUGUAGGGCCAGGGGAUUGCCUUCGCCAUCGGUGUUCCUCCGCAUAUCUACGAAUUUCACUGCUACACGCGGAAUUCCAUCCCCCUCUGUCGCACUCNAGACUUGGAGUCUCAAAGGCAGUUCCCAGGUUGAGCCCGGGGAUUUCACCACUGACUUACAAAACCGCCUGCGCGCGCUUUACGCCCAGUAAUUCCGAAAAACGCUUGCACCCUACGUAUUACCGCGGCUGCUGGCACGUAGUUAGCCGGUGCUUAUUCUUACGGUACCGUCAUUAUCUUCCGGUAUUAAAGNAAAUUUAUUUCCUUCCGGACAAAAGCACUUUACAACCCUAAGGUNGAUCNUGCUCGCGCGCAAUGUGCUGGAUAACGCUUGGGCCCAUUGUCCAAAAUUCCCCACUGCGGCGUCCCGAA